AAGCGACAGGCUGUGAACAGCUCUGCAACCAUAGCAUUUAAUUUAGAAGUCAGCACUUGACACAUUGAAGUAUUUGGAAUUCCUGAAGUCUGGCUGUCUGCACAGUUGCAUAAUUUGAACAGGAAUAACCUACUUACAACCAGGCAAGAUAGAAAAAAAAUACACGAAGACACUCCUCCCUCUAAACUUGACACUCAGAAAAAGAGGAAUUCUCUCACCCUGUUAAAAAACAAGAACAACAACAAAAAAAACAACAGUGCAAAACCUUCUGCGUGGGAAAGCAAAAGUGAUCCCUCCUCCUCACAGCUCUAUCUUAAAUAGAUUCACUCAGACCCAGGCAACCUCUCCAGGCACAUCACGCCUUGGAUCUGCGUUACACAUGGAUAUCAAGAUGCAACAGGAGAGCUCAAUGGCAGAAGAGCAGCACAUGUGAAAUGCCCCAUGAGACUCCUGGACACCAGCCUGUGCCAGGCAGCCAUUCCCACCCAGUAUCACCUUGCAGGGUUCACAGACAGUCCCACGUCACUCCAUGUACAACAACUUGCUGCUAGAAACCAGAGGUCAGCUCAGCAGGUGGGCUGGGUGACCUCCACCUAAAGAGAAGCCAGGAGAAAAGAAUGGAGAAAACACAGGAGGCAAACGUAUAAGUGGGAAAGCUGAGAAAUUUCCCUCAUGAUAAUAUGGCAAACCUAGGACUUCGUGUGAGGAAAAGAGUGAAUGCUAGAGCUUCUGGAAACAUGUGAGAAAGGCUGAAUGGGAACUGUCUCUUGACAGACAAGAAUCAGGAGACUUCCAAAUUACAUGUGUGACUAGAGAAAAGAAAUGCAGUGCAUUUUUGACCAGUGAUGUCCAACUUGAGAUCUGCAGAUGCUUAGGGAAGACACACAGUACUCCCAUGUAGAAAAGCAAUCCAGAUGCACCCACAAACUGCAGGGCACAGCUGGGUGACCCCUCUGGCACACACAGCAAGGAGUACCACACAUGGGAGCAGGCACCCAGCAAUGCCAUGAGGUGUCUAUGGGAACAGAUAGGACACUAGAAGACAACAGAAGCCUCCUGCUUGGGAAUGUGCAGGAGAAAUGCCUGCAUUCCAAAGGCUGGGGGCAAAACAUCAAGGUGUGCAAACACGUGUGGGAUGUGCCAGCUCUUGGUCAAUGGGAUAACCAGCUCUUGUAGACAGUCAAUGGGAUAACCAUUACAGAAGGCACAGCAGGCUGCCCUCAGAAGUGGUAACCCCAAAGUGCAGGGAGAUGAAGGAGCUGCCAGCAGGUCUGCAGGAAGACGUGUGUUCCUCUAUUGGGGUGGAAGAACUCACAGAAUGGGCAGGGUUGGAAGGGACUUCAAGGAUCAUGAAGUUCCAAAUCCUCCUACCACAUGAAGGGCCACCAACCUCCCUGCCCAGGGCCCCAUCCAACCUGGCCUUGAACACCUCCAGGGAUGGACAAGGCAUCCACAGCCUCUUUGGGCAGCUGUUCCAGCACUUCAUCAUUCUCAAUAACUCAGAGGUUUCUGAGGACAGGACAAAGCCCCCCGGGUCGGCUGUGCUCCAUGGGCUGCAGCGGCCCAGCACACUCAUGCACGAAAAGCAGCACGGGGGGCUCCAGAAGCCAGCAAGAUCCCCAGCUUGAGCGUUCCUACACAAGAAACGACAGGCUCCGAGCAGCCAAAAGCACCACCUCCCCUCUCCGCAUCCCCAUGUG